AUUAUAAUAUGUAGAUAUAUAUUCUAAGAAACUGUCAGGUCCAAAACACCUUUUUGCAGGUAACAGAACGGUCAAAUGUCAGAAUUAUUGCUUUCCUUCUAACUGACAAUUUGUCAGGAAAAGAAAAAGAUGCUUGAGAAAAACAAAUAUCAAAGUAAUAUAAUAGUUAUAUUAUAUGUAUUAUAAUACGUAGAUAUAUAUUCUAAGAAACUGUCAGGUCCAAAACACCUUUUUACAGGUAACAGAACGGUCAAAUAUCAGAAUUAUUGCUUUCCUUCUAAUUGACAAUUUGUCAGGAAAAGAAAAAAACGCUUGAGAAAAACAAAUAUCAAAGUAAUAUAAUACAAUUACAUUAUAUGUAUUGUAAUAUGUAGGUAUAUCUUAUAAGAAACUGACAUGUCCAAAACACCGCUUCUCAGGUAACAGAACGGUCGAAUAACAGAAUUAUUGUUUUCCUUCUAACUCACAAUUUGUCAGGUAAAGGAAAAAAUAAAACUUCAACUCGAUGUAUCGGUUGUUACACCGAUCCUUGAACGGAUACACGUAUUCAACGAACAAGGCUUUCGCAGAGGAGAUGUUUCGAGAGCAAUACAUAUAUUAUAUGGCAGAGCUUCGAACCUUCGACACGCAAAGGAACAUCGAUUCAAGAGGAGAGACGAACAUUCUUCAUAGGUCAGCGAGCAUAGAACGAUUUUAGACACGGCCUUUGGGCUGUUCUGUUCGUGCUUUGCGCCGUGGCAUGUCUUCUCAUUUCGUCCUAAUAAUCUUUUAAUGUUCAAAUAUCAUAUUAUGUAUAUUCUACCUUUUUUUCAAUAUACUCUAAAUUAGACACGCGAAAAAAGAGUUUGAUUUUAUGUUCGAUUCGCAUUUGCAUACUGAACAUGAUUAGAUAAGACCUCUAGCUUGACAAUAAUGCAUAAUUUUGUAGAAAAGAAUCUAACGAAGACUAUUGCAUUCCGAUUCAAAAUCUAUCGGUGUUCGACGAAAUAACGACAAAUUUCCAUACAUACAUGUCUCCACUCGACUUUAUCUACGACCAUCGAGAUUAUUCAAACCGAAGAAAUUUUACUUUACAAUAUCCUAUUCCACCAACUAUAGCCUCUCUGCUCACGCAACGUUUGACACGAUAACCUCAAACACUGUAUAUACGUCUGACCCAAAGCACGAAAGUACUAAAAAUUACGAUACCGAUAACAGAUAAUAAAUUACUGUUGUUAUGAAUGAUUUCAACCAAUUAUAUUGUAUAAAACUGAUCCCAUUGUAUGCAAAAAUUAAACAGUGUGAAAACUUUGAUAUUUAUCAUCAUUUGACAUAACUACUUCCCUGAAACAGUGAUCAAGGAACGAACGUUCUCCUAUAUUAUAGAAUAAAUAAAGCACUGUCAUCUUCGGUCAAUGAUAUUUGAAAAUUUAGAGAAAUAUACAUCAUGUUCGAAUUUUACGUAACAUUCAAAUGAGAUACAGCGAUAUUUUGGUAGAUCAGUUUGCUAAUCGGUCGGUAAACACGUAAACAGGUAUCAAAAAGUCUCGAAAGUCAUCGAGAAGAAUCAAGACGCAACGAUUAGCGCGAAGAGCUGCACUACUAUCGGUUACAUAACAAGGCAAAGAUACGAUGACACGAAAUAACGCUAUGGUCAAUUUAUAAAAUACGUACUGCUUUAUUCUCGACGUAUUUCAUUCUUCCCCCUACACCCACCUUUUUUGUUCUUUUUACUUUACCUUUUGCACUUGAUCGGUAAUUCGAAUUAAAAAACAUCUGAUGAAAGCGUACUAUACAUGUAACGUACAAUUCGCUAUGCACCAAAUACAAUAUGAUAAUGCGAUACAACAAAAAAAUAUCAAGUAAUUUGUCAUUAGAUGUACAACAAGGAUUACUAUGUCGACCAAGGUCGAUACUUGAAAACAACAGAGCCGGUAUGUAAAAAAAACUAUAACAAAUCUCUGUCAGGUUUGUUGUGCGUAUGUGUAUAUGUCUCCUAUAUGUAUGUACAUAUAUAUAAUUGCCUGUGUAAUAAAAUUAAUAGAAAAAACGCAGUAUAAUAAUUCUUCCAUAAGAUUCGGUACUGUUUCUGUUAACCAUACUAUUACUACUAGUAGUACCAUUAUUACUAUUAUUAGACGUGUUACACAAUACUCUCGCGUCUUCUUAAACGAGUUUCGCUGGCCAAUGACCAAAGCUAGAUAACGUCGUGUAUCGCGACCCAUUUACCGACUUGCUAAUCUCGAACUCUAAUCCGAACUUGAUUUUCUUAAACUUGUAUGGCUUAAACAAUUUUAGAAAUGUUACAUUCUUGAAUACUACAAAUAGGAUCGUAAUUAUUCAGAAUAAUUAUUCACCGUAUAAACACUACGAAUGCGGCGGGUUCUCGCAGCGUGUGCGCCAGCGUCAGUAAGAUUGACAGUCGGCGCUGAUGACAGACAGUCGAUAGGCCAAGCAGUUUCCAUCAUCAUGCAAUUGUUUAUAUUGGUAAAGAGUGAAGAGACAUUAUGCAAGGAAAGAAUAUUUCUUACCGAUGCCGGCGUCGUGCGGAAAACGUGAGAUCCGUACGAAAUGCGG